rnacentral:rRNA from 1 species
GAUGUUUCUGCGGCCUAUCAGGUAGUAGUCAGGGUAAUGACCUGACUAGCCUACGACGGGUACGGGCGUUGAGAGACGUUGCCCGGAGAUGGACUCUGAGACACGAGUCCAGGCCCUACGGGGCGCAGCAGGCGCGAAAACUUCGCAAUGUGGGAAACCACGACGAGGGAACUCCAAGUGCCAGCACACAGUGUUGGCUGUUUUCAAGCCUAAAAAGCUUGAAGAGUAAGGGCUGGGUAAGACGGGUGCCAGCCGCCGCGGUAAUACCUGCAGCUCGAGUGGUGGUCGCUUUUAUUGGGCCUAAAACGUCCGUAGCCUGUCAUGUAAAUGCUUGGGUAAAUCGAAGGGCUUAACUCUUCGAAUUCCGGGUAGACUGCAUGACUAGGGACCGGGAGAGGUUAGAGGUACUCCGGGGGUAGAGGUGAAAUUCUGUAAUCCUCGGGGGACCACCAGUGGCGAAGGCGUCUAACUAGAACGGGUCCGACGGUGAGGGACGAAGCCCUGGG